rnacentral:tRNA from 1 species
GGGGUUGUGGCUCAGUGGUAGAGUGCUCACCUCGCACGUGUGGGGCUCUGGGUUCGAUCCCCAGCACCACA